rnacentral:rRNA from 1 species
GACGAACGCUGGCGGCGUGCUUAACACAUGCAAGUCGAACGGUGAAGCGCCUUCCUUUUUGGUGGGUGUGGAUGAGUGGCGAACGGGUGAGUAACACGUGAGUAACCUGCCCCCUUCUUCUGGAUAACCGCAUGAAAGUGUGGCUAAUACGGGAUAUUCUGGGUCUGUCGCAUGAUGGGUCUGGGAAAGAUAUUGUUUCGGUGGGGGAUGGGCUCGCGGCCUAUCAGCUUGUUGGUGGGGUGAUGGCCUACCAAGGCGGUGACGGGUAGCCGGCCUGAGAGGGUGGACGGUCACACUGGGACUGAGACACGGCCCAGACUCCUACGGGAGGCAGCAGUGGGGAAUAUUGCACAAUGGGCGCAAGCCUGGUGCAGCGACGCCGCGUGAGGGAUGGAGGCCUUCGGGUUGUGAACCUCUUUCGCCAGUGAAGCAGGCCUGCCUCGUUUGUGGGUGGGUUGACGGUAGCUGGAUAAGAAGCGCCGGCUAACUACGUG